AGGUGACGCCUUUCAGGCAUCCUCUCCUAAAAACUUCCCGGGUCGCUUUUGGCGGCCCCUUUUUUUGCCCGGA
rnacentral:sRNA from 1 species